GGGAUGAGCAAUGAAUUUUGGGAGAGCCUCCCGUGCUACAUCAUGGAGACGGACUACACGGAGGCCUUGACCCCCAUCUGCGCCAGCCUCACCAACCUGGCCGAGUGCCAGCUGCACGCCAAUGACGUGGAGGCCAGCACAAGCAAGAGCAGUGGAUCUACCCGUGCCACAGAUUCUGCUGGCCUGACUCCUGGUACUGAUGUCGUCCCCCUACAAGAGGGAGGGCCAUGUAAUCGCCAUGCUCAACCUUCUGAAGACCCUGAGCCAGAGCAUCGCCCCCUCCACGGCCGUCAUGAAGGAGCUGGAGAUCCCGCUGCUGGUCAAGUACCUGGAGGAACUCACCGAGUUUACCUGGAACCAGAAGACGUGGGAGGACAGGCUGAUUCAGGUAGAGUUUCGGAGAAACUCCCUCAAGAUGCCUCGGGGUUCCCGCUGGAGCCUGCGUCUGAGCAAAGAGCUGAACAACCAGAUCGAGAGCUUCGACAGCCCCUCCCUGGAGAAGCUCAGCCCCACCUGCAGCGUCGUCCCCAGCGGAGUCCAUGGCAAGGAAUGAGAUCUGAGCGAGCCCUCACCUGUCAGCCCGCGGCCCUGAUCAACCGCAGGAAGCAGCCACCUCUCCACGUCUGCUGCCAGCUGGACUUCGAGUGAGAAAAACGGUCAUCUUGUUAAACCAUGAAGACUUCAGCGCGUGUCUGUUGCAGCAGCUCGCAUCACCUUACACUCACUGAGAGAGCCUGCUGUACUUUGCUUCCCUGACCGCUCCCAGGUGGCCCAGGACGGUGGGCUCCCAGCACUGCCCAUGUGAACGUCAACUUCCAAGUCCUCACCCAGAAAAUGAGGUGGCGCAGAGGGACCUACCUUAAUGGACGCAUUGCUCUCCCCUGGGGGCUGGAGAGAAAUUACAGGAAACAUUCCACUGGUCCUCCCUGACUGCAGCCACAGACUCUGCUUCUGGGUGGUCCUGGCCCAGGAGUUUUCAACUGUAAUACCUGGCCCAGGAGCAGCAGCAUCCCCUUGGAGUUUAUUAGAAAAUGCAAAUUCUGUGUCUCCACCUCAGAGCUGCUGAAUCACAACCUCUGGAGUGGAGGACUCCCCGGCGGCCCAGUGGUUAAGGCUUUGCCGUGCUGGGCCAGGGGUGCAGGGUUGAUCCCACGCGUCUCGUGGCCAAAAAGCCAAAACAUGAAACCGAAGCAAUACUGUAACACAAAAAAAUGGUCCACGUGAAAAAACAUCUUAG